AAUUGUAUCUUAGUCUGUUGUAUUCCACAGAAGAACAUAAGAUGUAUCCUUUAGUAAAAUUAAUUUUCAGAUGGUAUAAACAAAGAUCAAAUAUAUUUAUACCAGUUCAUUUUUAAUAGCCCUUUUCAAACAGUUUUUAUUAACAUUUAUGUUGCAAUCAAACCAUCCAAAUUAUAGGAUUAGUAUAAAGCCCAAAAUUUGUGUUCGUGUGUGCUGUAAAACAAUGGUAAUAUAUUCUGUAGAAUAUGUAACUAUUAAAUCAUAACUGUGCCAGGCAACACCAGACAUAACUUUUCUGCUGUCAGAUAAAUUCACAGAGUGUAGUUACAGUGAACUUCCUUACUUAAUUAUCAGCAAGAUGCUGGGUCUGUGAUCAAGUCCAAACUUAAAGAUGUAGGAUGUCAUAAUUUGCUGCCUGGUCAGGGCUGUCACAACACUGGAGUGAUGGUGAUUUAGCGUGGAGGUAUGGCAGAAUAAAGAUUAGCAGAGGGACAUGAAAGAAACUCUAAAAAUAACUUGCUCCAUUGCCAUUUUGUCCAUCACUGAUUUCACAUGAAGCCACCAGGGCUUGAAUACAAGGCUCUGCAGUAGGAAGCUAUUGUCAGACUGCCUAAACUAUGGCAUGGCUUUCAUGCAGUGAAUUUUUGAAUGUUUCGAAAGCUUCAUAGUCUAUAUACAGAUGUUGUGUGCAAUCCCUUCUAUAUCCCUUGUGAUCAUGUUAUUUCCACGAAUUUUGAUACCACAGUGAAGAAUAUAAUGACUAGAAAUACAUGAGUUUGAAUAAAUGUGUUUGGAACAUGUAUUCAUUAUUCAAAUGAAAUAAAUAAUUGGUUAUGAAUUUCCUGUGUUGUAAAAUUUGAUACCUGUGUAUUGGUUGAUGCAAGAAUGACGAUGAAAGAACUAUAUUAAU